UGUGUUAGCAUAAGGAAGAAAUUUGAGUCUACUGCAAAUUCUGGGUAAUUAAAAUCUUGUUGAAUUUCUGUUUUAUAUUUAAGUCUCUCUCAUAUGUGAAUGCAGCCAUAUCCGUUUCAGAUCUGUUAAAUCCUAUAAUUCAAGGUAGAUUACACUUAAAUCAGUGCUAGUUGUAAGAAAGAAACAUGGCUAAGAAAACAUGAGGCAAUGAAUUGAGAACAAAGAGAGUGGCUUUAUUUAUUUUCUUUUUAAAAUCAGUAAUUGUUAUUAUGCAUCAUUCGUACGGAAGUUAUGACAUUAUAUGUAAGAUCUGAAAUGCUGACAGUCAUAUCAGCCAUGGAUACCCAGUUUUGGAAAGUUCUCUGUAAAAAUGUAGCAAUUUACAUAGCAAACACUCUCAGGGAAUGCAAAAUAAUUCGUGACCAUUAUCUGAUUUGUGGGAGGUAAUUAAGGAAAAGGGGCUUUCCUGAUUCAGGAGAGCCAACCCUAGCCUUGUCUGGAAACAACUGUACUGCUGAGGUUUUCUGUGAGUAGAAAUUUAAGAAGAGCUCACUUGGAAGAACUGUGAUUUUUACCCUGUGCCAACAAUUGCCAUAAACCAUGUGCUCUGUGUAUUUAAAUGGAACUGAAACCCAACUCAAUUUUCUGCUAGACAGAUGUUUGCAUUGAAAAAAGCAUUGACAAUGCCCACAAACAACCCUUUCAACAUGAUGCACAUUUUUGUCUAUUCUCUUGUUUUAUUGUAAGAGUGGGAUUUCUGUAGAAAACGAAAGACAUGAAAAUGAUUUCAGUUGUGUUUGGUAGUAUUUUUCUACACUGUGUACUGGGCUGUAACUGACAUACUUCAUUUGAUAGGAAUUAUAAACACCUUUUGUUCAGGAGAAAGGGAAUUUAGACUUCCUAUAAUUAAUGUACUUGUACCCUUUCAAGCAAAGUACAUGCUGUGUAUUUAUAUGUUAAAGCACAGAUAUUAUAAAAAAUGCUGUUGACAUGGUAUGUGAUAACUUUCAGCUUUUGGAUGUUUAACCUUUGCUUCUACAAAGCAUUAUGCUGGUAAUGCUGUUUAACAAUAACUUUUGAUUACUAAAGGGUUAUGAAACUUUUUUAAAAUGAGCAGUAUUUGUAUUACACGUAAAUUGCACUAAUGGAAAAAAAUGAAAAAUAUUCUGCUAUAGUCUGGGAGAAAUUUUGUUAAAUAAUGUUGUUAUAUGGGUCGUUGAGUUCUUCAGAGUCUUUUGAAGAGUGUCCAGGCUGUUUCCAUUCUUUAUUUAUAUGGGGAAAUGGUUUAAAUAAAAGAAUGAUCUGAACUAUUCUUGAAUUAAGCCAAAUAUUUAUCUUAUGGCAUUAUUGAUAGAAAUUUUGUCAUGUUCCUUGGAAAUCAUGCAAUGUUUACAAGGAUAGCAGUUUUCUAGCCAAAACCUUACUCAUGAAGUUCACUGAGUCUUGAAACAAUUGUUCCUUUUCUCCUUCUUUAUACUUGGCGUCAGCCUCAAGGAGGUGAGGCAUAGAUGAAUGUGUGCAGAGUUUCUGUCUGUCAGUGACUCUGUAUAGCAGUAUGGCUGUAGCUUUUAUGUGACAAGCGGUAGUGAUUUUAAAUAAUUCUUCUGCCUUUCAGGAUCUUCCUCAGUAUUUUUAUAGUUUUUGAUGCACUCUCUGUAAAAUAUAUAAGCCAUUUCCUGUAUUUAUUGUCCUUCAUUCUUCAGCAAAUAUUUGAUUGUCUACUAUGUGCCAAACACUGGGCAGGUUACUGGGUGCAGAAGUGACAGUGGCAUGGUCUCUGCCCUCUUGGGAGAGUGUGCGAUGUACCAAAACAUCACGGAGUCCCCUUUCCUUUGUCUGGCCCUGCCUCUUACUGAUGUGCUGGUCAUUACAGUAAACUGAGGAGAAGAUCCCUGUAUGCGGUGUUACCCUUUUACUUUUGCAGAAUCGCACCAUGUAGUCAUUAUACUGAGUGCUGUUUAUUUGAAAAGUAUUGAGAGUUUUGGCUGCAUAGAAUAGUGCCUAGGAUGGGAUGGUCCUUAAGGAGACAGGCUGCAUAGGCCAUAAGAAUCAUUGAGCAGAUAUUUAGCAAGUCACACUGUGUGCCCAGAACCCUGUUGGCUGUGGGAGAUCAGUGAUAAAAUAAAAAUGAUCCUGUUCACCUAAAGUAAAUAUAUUCCAAAAUUUAAAUUAUGAAAGAUGCUCUGAAGAGCUUGAGUCUUCUGGAUCACGCGUCUAAUCGCUACUGGAAGUCCAGGUGAAAAGCCAUAUUAUAAUUGCUUGGAUGCUUAGUGAUUAUGGAAAUAGAGGAUUAAUGGCUAGAUCCUGAUCACUAGCCGGCGGACGCCCUUUCUGUGUUUUUGUACAGGUUUAGGUGCUUGUUUUCUAGGUGAUCUUGAUAUCUGGUACCUAUGUGCCUGUUAUGACAAAUUCCCUGAUAUUCUGAUUGUUUCAUUCUGCAGUGUUUGCAGCUCAUAAAGUGAAUGUUUUCAGUAUGGUGAUGAGCCAUGUUCAUGUUAACGUCUCAGUGUUUGAUCCUUGGUAUAUAUGUGAUUUUAAGUAAUGAAUGCAUGUAUCCAUUUAUUUAUCCUUUGGAUAUGAAGGUAGUUUGAGUCUUUGUCUCUUAAACUUUCCUAUUCAUUAUUUAGAGAUAUGCCAAAUAAAUCACACUUUUCUGCAUCCAUUAAAUGUGGAUAAUAAUACCUAUAUAUAUCAUUAGCUUUUUGUAUAACCAAAUGAGAUUAUGAAUAACUUAUUUUAACAUUAUUCCAAGUAUUUGUGUAAGAUCUCAAGAAAUGUUAGAUAUUACUGACACUAAAUUAUACCACAUUCUGAAACUAAUAUGGAAAAAUAAGUCAUGUUUAUCUUAAAAUUGCCUCUUUCAUACAUAAUCCAGGCUGAGCUCACAUAUGUGGGUACUUGUGUUUUUUCUGUGGUCCUGUUAUUUGAUUCUACCUUAUCCAACUUUACUUUAGAGAGCAGAAAUUCAGGAAACUCACAGUACCUACAAAUAAUUAACUCAAAAAUCUGGAACAAAUCUUAAAAUUAUCUUUUAUGAUAUGGUCAUAUUAUGAAUGUAUAACUGUAACUACAGAAAAAUUAAAAAUAUGUAGGCUGCUUUAGGGGAGAAUCAAGGUAUUGAGUGAUACUUCAAGCUUUGAGUAAUGUUUGCAGUAAAUUCUUCCUGUCCAGGCUAAAGGAUUCAGCAAUACUCCAUGUGUGCCACCAGAAGGUGCUAGAAGGAAAUGAAACCGGCUCUGUGGAUGCUUUGCACUAGUAUUUUUGUUUUGUUUUGUUUUGUUUUUUCCAUUUGUUUGGUGGUGUUCUUUCUAAACAGUUUCCUCUUUUUGGUGACAGUUUUCAUAUGGUUUCAAUAUUAUAUCUAUGAAGUUUCAGGGAUUUGGCCAUGUGCAAAAACAAAAGCAGAGUUUUAAUCUGUUUAUUCACCAAGAAAUAACUAGAAAAGGCUUUUAGAAAAAAAAUGUGCACAGACUAUUUGAGAACACAACAGUCAUGUAACUGAAAACAAAUAUAUUGUGCUUCCGUAUAAAAAUCCAUCUUUUAGGUCAACUUUAUAGAGAAACCUUAUUUUCUGUCCUAAUUUAAAUCUCAGAUCUUUCAAAGGCCGGUUUACCCUCCAAAAUAAGAUAGGACUGCCAUUGGUAUUGUUGAUCUAUCUAAUCUUAUAAGUAAAUUCAUGAACCUUAAAGGCUUUGCUGUCCUCCAGGAGUCCUAAAUAUGAACUAGCAUUAGGUAUCCGUGUGUGUUUUAUUCAGAUAGUUUAUUUCAAGAUCGUUUAAACAUCGAGGAGAUGCUGACAUUAAAAAAAAUUCCAUCUAGGAUUUCCCUUUCCUUUCCCAUUAGGAACUACAACACGUUCCUCAGAUUCCGAAAUCCAGUGCUUGUUUUUGUUACUACUGCAAAGACAUUGAAAGGGGGUAAAAUAGUAAAAGGGUAAUAAUACCUAUCCUGGCAGUUAUUUCUGUCUUUCAGUGCUAAAGGUGACCAGGCUAUACAGAUGCUUUUUAAAGUCCUCUUGUAAUAGUAAUGUCCCUGAUGAAAAUUUAUUCAUUCACAAUUUUAGUGAGAAAAAUUAUGAAAUUUCUCUGCAUAGUUCUCUGGAUAUUUACCAUCUAUAUUUUCAUUUAACGUGUUUAGGAAGAAAAAAAACUGUUGCAUUUGUGAGCCAGAUAAUUUCUCCAGCUGUUUUUAAUUUCAUACGUUCGGUGGAAAGAUGACAGUCUUAAGCACAGUGCUUCAAACUGUGCUGGUGAAAUAGAGCUAAAAGCAGGGAAAGGCGAGGUUGCCGAGCACUUGCCUACAAAACACACAAAAUUUGAAGAGAAAGCAGGACACCUCUCCUACCCUAAUACAUCCUAUUGUAUUAGUUUCCUAUUGCUUCUUUAACAAAGUCCCAUAAACCGAUUGCUUAAAACUCCCAAAUAUUUUAUCAUCAGACAUCCAAGAUGGGUUUCACUGGGAUAAAAGUUAAGAAGGCAAGACGGAGUUCUUUCUGGAGGUUUGAGAGAGACUUUUCCUUGCCUUUUUCAGUUUCUAGAGGCUUUCCGCUUUCCUUGGCUUGUGUUUUCCUCUGUCUUCUAAACCAGCAGUGGCUGAUGGACUCUCUCCCACCCUACUUGGCUCUGACUCUUCUGCUUCAUCUUCCGUGUGUAAAAGACCCUUGUGAUUGUGUUGGGCCCAACCAAAUCAUCCAGGAUAAUCUCCUUAUUUUAAGGUCCACUAGUCAGCAGUCUUAAUCGCCCCAUCUCAUGUAAUACAACAUGGUCAAAAGUUCCAGGGACUACAAUGUGGACCUCAGGGAGGGGGUUGUUGUUCUGCCUCCUAUGUCUAUGUCCUGUGUACUUUUACAGAAUUGAAGUACCAUGUGUAUAAUUUUUAUUGAGCAUUUUCUCACACCAACAGUUUUUAGUAUGUCUUUUUACAACCGCACAACACUACAUUGACAGAAUUCACCAUAUUCGCCUGAUGUUGGCCAUUUCACUUAUUCAAAAAAUACUUACUGUGUCCCAAUUAUGUUAGAGGUAUUCUGCAGAGAAAUGGAGUUUUAGUCAUAAAUUUAAAAAAGGUCUGCCUUUGGGUAAGUUGUUGAAAAAUGUAAAAGAAAGGAAAAUAAAGAAUUAACCAAAUAAUUGAUAAAUUAAAUUUUUGGCACGAAAGUGAAAAACGGGGUGCCAUAAAGAUGGGAAGGCUCCUCCCUGGUUUCCCUGAUAAAAAGGACAUUUAAGCUAAGCCUGGAAGGAUGGAUGGAUUUGUACACUUUAGGGAGUGGGGAGGAGUGUUUGAGGCGAAAAGAAGAGCAUGGGUAAAGAACAAAGGUCGGGAAGUUGCUCAGCAACUGAAGAAGUCAAAGAAAUCUCCUCCUUGGUGAGUAGGAGAAUGGCUUGAGACAAGGAUGGAGAAUGGGGCAGAGUCCAGAUCAUGCAAGACCUCACACUUCAGGAUGAGAACAUUGGGCUUUGUGUUAAAGACAAAGGAAGGCUACUGCGUGCUCUUAAUCAAAGGAGAAACACAGUAAGGAUGCAUUCCAAACGCUCCCUUUGGCUGCAGCCAUUCGUGAAAGAAAGGAGCAGCAGGGGCACUGGGGAGGAGGUCUGUUGCGGAAGGUCCCUAAGUCGUUGAGGAAGCAGGUAGCGAAGGGGGCCGUUUGAGAGUUGAUUCUAUUUAUAGGUACAGGCAGAGAAAAAGCAGUUGUGCGGGAAGGCUGAUUCAGCCUUGGGUGCACCGCGUUUGAGAGGCUUCGAAUCAUCAAUUGAGAGGCCGUCCAGUCGGUCUGGGAUGGAGCUGUAUCUGUGGAAAGCUUUGGUCUACGUAAAGCCGCAGUACACAUGGGACCAAAGUAAGGGGGACGGGGG
rnacentral:lncRNA from 1 species